UACGGGGGGGGCAAGCGUUGUUCGGAAUUACUGGGCGUAAAGGGCGCGUAGGCGGUUCGCUAAGUUGAAUGUGAAAACUCUGGGCUUAACCCAGAGCCUGCAUUCAAUACUGGCGGGCUAGAGUUCUGGAGGGGAUAGCGGAAUUCCUGGUGUAGCGGUGAAAUGCGCAGAUAUCAGGAAGAACACCCGUGGCUAAGGCGGCUCUCUAGUACGGUACUGACGCUGAGACGCGAAAGCGUGGGGAGCGAACAGG
rnacentral:rRNA from 1 species